GCCUAACCCCGAUUGCAGCGGAAAGCAUUUUGAAAUAAAAAAAUUACAUUUCCUGAAAUAAAAAAGCGACCGCAAGGAAGCUCUUUUUGUUUUAUUGGAAAUGUUUUUUUAUAAGAAAUCCUGAAGCGAAAAGCGGGAACAUGU
rnacentral:misc_RNA from 1 species